rnacentral:rRNA from 1 species
CCUACGGGGGGCAGCAGUGGGGAAUAUUGGACAAUGGGGGCAACCCUGAUCCAGCCAUGCCGCGUGUGUGAAGAAGGCCAUCGGGUUGUAAAGCACUUUCAGUGAGGAAGAACGCCUGGUGGUUAAUACCCAUCAGGAAAGACAUCACUCACAGAAGAAGCACCGGCUAACUCCGUGCCAGCAGCCGCGGUAAUACGGAGGGUGCGAGCGUUAAUCGGAAUUACUGGGCGUAAAGCGCGCGUAGGUGGCUUGAUAAGCCGGUUGUGAAAGCCCCGGGCUCAACCUGGGAACGGCAUCCGGAACUGUCAAGCUAGAGUGCAGGAGAGGAAGGUAGAAUUCCCGGUGUAGCGGUGAAAUGCGUAGAGAUCGGGAGGAAUACCAGUGGCGAAGGCGGCCUUCUGGACUGACACUGACACUGAGGUGCGAAAGCGUGGGUAGCAAACAGGAUUAGAUACCCCAGUAGUC